ACGGAAGGCAGCAGUGGGGAAUAUUGCACAAUGGGGGAAACCCUGAUGCAGCGACGCCGCGUGAGCGAUGAAGUAUUUCGGUAUGUAAAGCUCUAUCAGCAGGGAAGAUAAUGACGGUACCUGACUAAGAAGCCCCGGCUAACUACGUGCCAGCAGCCGCGGUAAUACGUAGGGGGCAAGCGUUAUCCGGAUUUACUGGGUGUAAAGGGAGUGUAGGUGGUUUGGCAAGCCAGAUGUGAAAGCCCGGGGCUCAACCCCGUGGACUGCAUUUGGAACUGUUAAACUUGAGGGCAGGAGAGGAAAGUGGAAUUCCUAGUGUAGCGGUGAAAUGCGUAGAUAUUAGGAGGAACACCAGUGGCGAAGGCGGCUUUCUGGACUGUAACUGACACUGAGGCUCGAAAGCGUGGGGAGCAAACAGGAUUAGAUACCCUGGUA
rnacentral:rRNA from 1 species